CGAAAUCAUAUUCUCUACUUUACCAAUUCCAUCAUCAAAACCUUCACUGGCCGAAACCGAAUCAAUCAAUCAAUCAAAAUUAGAAAACGGCAGACACUCUCUACCGAAAAUGAAGAAGAAAAAGAUUGCAGUGGUGGACAGGAUUAGUGAUCUACCGGAAUCUCUUCUGUGCCACAUUCUCUCCUUCCUUCCAACCAAAGAGUCAGUCGCCACAAGCAUUUUGUCAACCAGGUGGAAGCUCCUUUGGACUCUCGUCCCAAAGCUAGAUCUCGACAGUGACGAGAUCACCGCUUCGGAGCUUUUGCGUGGCGAUGAAUAUUUCCGUCAGAGUCAGAUCAAGUUUGCACAUGUUGUGUCAACUGUUUUGGCUCAACAAGAACGUGGAGAGCUCCGAACUUUUCGCCUCAGAUGGAAAUUUUGGUGGGACGGUUCCCAUCUCGACGCGUAAAGUCAAAGAACUUGAUCUCCGCAUUUAUACUGAGGGGGAAAAUCUAAAUUUUAUUAUGUACAUGAAGAAUUUCGCAGGAAAUGGGUGUCCAAUCUUUUUGCUGCACUGAAUAACGUCAAAUUCCUCUCAUUUUCUCCAAGAGGCCCAGAGAUGCAGUGGAACAACUUUGAAAAUAUUUAUCCUUCCUCAUUCCAGAAUUUGGUCAAACUAAUAUUUGUAGUGAGUGGUAAUCGCUGGAAUGUGCUACUAGACUUGCUCCAAAAAGCUCCCAAUCUAGAAACUCUUUUUAUUACUACGGAUUAUGAGAUCGUUGGGCGCAACUUACAUGGGAAGGAGCCACAAUAUUAUCCUGAUAAUCUGUCAUCACUCACAAGUUUUUAUUUCAGAGAUUUUUUGGGUGAAAAGGAUGAAGUGGAACUUGUGAAAUAUAUUCUAAAGGAGGCAAGAGUUUUGAAAACAGCAACAAUUGAAGUUUCUAGUGGAAGGUCGAAGGAAAGUGUUCUUGAGAAACUAUCAAUGUUCCCAAGGUGCUCAACAACAUGUUUACUUAGAGUUGAAUGAGGUCAGUGUUUGGCUACAUCUACAUGGCACCUCCUUUCAUGUCUAUCUGCCCAGUUUUGUUUGCCUUAUAUAAUGUUCCUACAAGUACACGUCUGCCCCAACUCACACUAUCUAUAAGAAUGCAUCACAUCACUUCCAUUGGAUAUUGGCUAAACUAAUUGUUGAUCAACAUCUAAAAAUACUAUUAAUCUUUUAUCAUUAGCUGCUCUACUCAUCUGCGUUGGGGCUUCUUGUUGAGACUAUAAAUCUUUUUUCGUUUUUUGAUAAGUAACUAUAAAUCUUUUAUCAUUAGCUGCUCUACUCAUCUGCAUUGGUGCUUCUUGUUAGCC